GGGGCUAGGGGGCGGGGCUACAAUUUAGACACAGGUGUAAAAGUACUGAGACAGAACACAGGGGCAUAGGUCACGUGGGGAACACACAGGCACGAGGACAGACAGGAAACAGGGCCAGGACUUGACAUAAAUGUGUCAGAGAAUUCCUUGUCCACCUGUCAUGUUGGAAACCCCUGGCCCUAUUUAAGGAAGCUGUUUUGCCGGUGGGGACGGAACCCCGGGCACAUCUGUGGGAGAACAAUAACAGUCAGUCUUCCCCAGAGCCUGCCUCUGUCUCUCUCCCACUGUCACACACAUAAGAACUCUCUGUUCCUCUGUUCCCUGACGUUCAGAUGGUUCCACUGCAAGACUAUUCUCUCUCGUAUACAAUAUCGGCCAAAAGUUAGGGAUCACGGCAUGCUUCAAAUUUAGCCCUAAUCAAAAAUGUCACCCUUUGCAGCCUGGCAGACUCUUGGCAUACCAGUCAAUCUGUCAAGGUAAUCUGAUGUGAAUUCACCACUUUUUCCUGGAGUAUCUCUUACAACGUGUAUUGGUUUGAUGAAGUCCCCCUCUGUACCAUUCCAUUAUAGUCAAAAUUAUGAGUAUGGCAUGUUUUUUAUUGCAAUAAGUUGUGGUAUCCUUUCUUUUUCCAGGAUCUCUUAUUUUACCACUCAAAAUGGUCAAUGCUUGAAAAAUGUCAUAACGUAUUAUUCAAGCAUCUUGUAAUUGUUUCUGCAACUCACAAUUAUUCUUCUGUUUAAUUCAUUAAGACAUCAAACUUGGACUCAUCUGUCCACAACACCUUCCAAUCUUGUAGUGUCCAUUGUCUUUUGUCUUUUCCCCAUGGCUUUUUUUAUUUAGUGUGAAGUAUGGCUUUUUCUUGGCAAUUCUGAAAUUCAUAAAGUCCAGCAUCCUAUACUUACCUCUUCACCGAUAUACUGACACUGGUGUUUAACAGGUUCCAUUUAGUGCAGAUGUCAGUUGACAACCUGUGAGGUUUUUUUUUUUAUCUCAAACUGUACACUUUAAGAUAUUUAUCUUCUUGCACAGUUUUGCAUCAAGGCAUCUCACUGCUUUUUCUGUCCUUUUUAAAGCCAGUUUCUGCUACUCUUUUAAGUAGUUAACAUCUUGAUAAGAUAUUUUCAGUUUCUUUGCAAUAUUUUGCAUUGCGUAGCCUUCCUUCCUUAACACAGCAAGAUACUGACAGGUCUCUAAAGAAAGUUGUUUCUUUGUUUCUGAGGCUGUAGGCAAUCUGAUGCUUUAUAGAUACUAAAUUAACCUGGAAUGUUGUUCUUCCUUUAUUGCUUCCUUAUUAGUAUAUAUUUCUUUCAGCUGUGCAACAAAAUUGAAAAAGAACUGCUGAUAAUAGUAUCAUAUGCAAAAUAGACCUUUAUCCGAAAAUAGGCUUGAAACCUUUUCAUUUCUUUACCAUGUUUUACUGCCCAUAAAAACUAGGCCAUCACAAAGUAGAAGAGUACCCUCAAAGGAUAUUUUAAAUACUUUACUGUACACUGACAAGCCAAAAGUCAUGGGAUAGCAGUAUGUAAAUUUAUCAUGUUGAUCAAUUGAUUUUUCCCUCCAAUCAUAAUUAAAAAUGUGUGUCCUAUGACUUCUGACAAAUCUGUAUAUCUCUUUUUAAAUAUUUUAUUCAGCAUUAUAGUGCAAACCUUCAAAAUCCAUAUCCUGUUGUAUUUGUCAGUGCUUGUCUGCUGCUUGUUAUCGUUCUAAUCACAUUUUCAGUGCUGGAUACAUCAACAUGCUAAAUUGAAUUAAGACCUCAUGUCUGCCAUGUCGACUGUAAUAGCUCCACAGAACAGGAACUCCAUAUUUAGAUAGAUCUGUAACAUGGCCUUCCUUGCCAUGUCAUAACACAAGGAAAGAACUCUGGGCUGGAUGAUAUAAACUAGGUCUGUGACAUGGAUGGUUUCCUUUAUUAGGCCGAUUGGGCGACGCCACACCAAAGGAUGAGAAAGAAAAAAUAUGUUUUUAGCACUUUCAACAAGAUUAGACAAUUGUCUAGUGAUAUAACUUUUAGUUAACCUAUUGAACAGGUCAUUAUAUCAUCAUACACCUCUUUAAAGAGAUUUGUCAGGAGCCACCACUGAUCUGGGAGCAGCUAACCUUGUUUUAGGUUAGAUUGACUAUAGGAUUGGAUUGGGUUAAUUUAUGUUCCCCUUCUCCAAUAUUCCCCAUGUACUUGUGCUUUCGCAUGUUAACAUGUGGUAUUGGAUCAACACCACUGAUCUGUGAUGGGCAGAGGUGGAAAGUAAUGAAUUACAUUUACUCAAGUUACUGUAAUUUAGUAGAUUUUAUGAGCAAUUUUUCAUUUUUAAAGUAGUUUUUAAAGUAGGUAAUUUUACUUUUACUUUUAAGUACAUAUUUACUUUGCUACAUUGGAAAACUCCCAAUUACUGAGUAAAAAAUAAAAAGCUGGGGAAAAAAAAAACA
ensembl:lncRNA